UAAUGAGAAGUACUGGCAGUGUCAAACACUUUUUGAGAUGUCUUGUCCGGAGAAUGUUACAUUGGUGGGGUGAGAACAAGAACUGAAGAAGCUUACAUAUUUUGGGAAAUUUGACAAUUUUGACAUAUUUUAAGGUAAUCAUUUUGAGUGGUGAACUUUUGUGAAAAAUCACUCGUUGGUGACCAAAAAUAUUCCCCAUCGUGACGUGAAAGCCACCCUUCUGAACUUCAGGCAUAUCUCUGAACUGAGUCAAUGUUUUAAGUAAUUUAAUUUACCAUUAAAUGAAUCCUUCACGCGUGUCAGCGGCUGCACGUGCGAGUGUGAGCUGGUCCUCGCUGGAUUGUCUUGUUACGUGAAGGCAUCGCAACCGACGGGGACAAACAUCCAACGGCGUCUGACGCGCCUGUUAUCUUCUCUUUCCUCCACUUCCUGUCUCUUUAGUUUUCCCCCAAGCUUACGCGAUUUACGAGCUUGAAU
rnacentral:lncRNA from 1 species